AGUGAACGCUGGCGGUAGGCCUAACACAUGCAAGUCGAACGGCAGCACAGGAGAGCUUGCUCUCUGGGUGGCGAGUGGCGGACGGGUGAGGAAUACAUCGGAAUCUACUCUGUCGUGGGGGAUAACGUAGGGAAACUUACGCUAAUACCGCAUACGACCUACGGGUGAAAGCAGGGGAUCUUCGGACCUUGCGCGAUUGAAAGAGCCGAUGUCGGAUUAGCUAGUUGGCGGGGUAAAGGCCCACCAAGGCGACGAUCCGUAGCUGGUCUGAGAGGAUGAUCAGCCACACUGGAGCUGAGACACGGUCCAGACUCCUACGGGAGGCAGCAGUGGGGAAUAUUGGACAAUGGGCGCAAGCCUGAUCCAGCCAUACCGCGUGGGUGAAGAAGGCCUUCGGGUUGUAAAGCCCUUUUGUUGGGAAAGAAAUCCAGCUGGCUAAUACCCGGUUGGGAUGACGGUACCCAAAGAAUAAGCACCGGCUAACUUCGUGCCAGCCGCCGCCGUAA
rnacentral:rRNA from 1 species